GACAGAGGGUGCAACCGUUGUUCGGAAUUACUGGGCGUAAAGCGCGUGUAGGCGGCUUGGCAAGUCGGGUGUGAAAGCCCCGGGCUCAACCUGGGAAGUGCACUCGAAACUGCUUGGCUUGAGUACUGGAGAGGGAAGCGGAAUUCUCGGUGUAGAGGUGAAAUUCGUAGAUAUCGAGAGGAACACCGGUGGCGAAGGCGGCUUCCUGGACAGUUACUGACGCUGAGACGCGAAAGCGUGGGGAGCAAACAGG
rnacentral:rRNA from 1 species